CCCUUAGAUGUUCUGGGCCGCGCGCGUGCUACACUGAGUGGAUCAGCGGGUCAGGUUGCGCGAAAGUGUUUCCUAAUCUUGAAAUCCGCUCGUGAUGGGGAUUGACGGUUGCAAUUUUCCGUCAUGAACGAGGAAUACCUUGUAAGCGCGGGUCAUCAUCCCGCGCUGAAUACGUCCCUGCCCUUUGUACACACCGCCCGUCGCUCCUACCGAUUGAGUGGUCCGGUGAGGCUUUGGGAUCUGAGCAAAAAGAGCGUUUCGCUCGUUUGGCUCGGAAAACUCAGUCGAACCUUAUCAUUUAGAGGAAGGAGAAGUCGUAACA
rnacentral:rRNA from 1 species